AGGUGUUCAAAUAACGUUUUAUAGUUUUCACAUUUAGGUGAAAAUGUGAAUUGAUGAUCCGACCGUUGGAUCAUCACCAAAAUUUGAUACGUUAUAGUACGUAAUAUUUGAGGAUUAUUGGAACUUACGGAUUGGUAAUCCGAGUUACGGAUCUUCCGGAAUUGGAAUUGUAAGUCCAUAAUAUAAAAAUGUUAAACCGUCACUUAGUUUUGGAAAUUGACGGAGAUCCGACCGUUGGAUGGUAAUGAAAUUUUAGGAUGUUAUCCUAGAGAUAUAUUGUGGACCUCUGGAAGUUAUGGAUUUAAAAUCUGAGUGGCAGAUCUUCCGGAUCGAUCAACAUAGUGACGUAUUUAUAUAAGUUAUAUUCUAUCGAUAUGAAUUCUGAGGUUGGAAUUAAUUAUUGUUUUAGGCGCCGAUCGUCAUGACGCCUUGAUGUGUGGUGCUAGGGAGUUGUAGGGCGAACUCCAGGUGAGUGGGCAGUUUUGUUUUCCGUAUAUAUAUAUACUUGACGUUUCCCAGAAAUUGAAUUGAAAUGAAAAUAUGUUUUAAAAUGAAAUGCAUAUAUGAGUUAUGUGGAAAAACGGGAAGUGAAAUACCAUGCAUAGAAUUGAUAUGAAAAGUAUAUAGAAAUGUGAGUUGAAAUGCCAUGCAUGAAUUAAUAUAUGAUGCAUAUGUAUGAAUUGGUGCGGUGGACGCACAAGUAAGAAUUGAUUUAUGAUGCAUAUGUAUGAAUUGGUGCGGUGGACGCACAUGUAAGAAUUGAUUUAUGAUGCAUAUGUAUGAAAUGGUGCGGUGGACGCACAGAUGAGUAUUUAAUUACUGUUAUGAUGAUGAUGAUAUAUAUUGAGCUCAAAUCCUGCACCAUGGUUUAGUGCUUAUAGUAUUCACCGCAUCGCACGCUCGCCUUGGAUCCAAGUAGAUGCUAGUCGUACAGUCCACGCGGAGUGGGUACGACAGACCAGUCGCGAGAGUGUUAGUGAGAUUCCGACUGGUGGGUGACCUUAGAUUAUGUGCACAGAUGAUUUAUGAGAAGCACUAGAGCGUAACUUGUGUGCAGAAGGCCGGACGGGUCACAGAGGUGACUCCGGUAGAGUGAUAAUGAUAGAUUUUGAGCUCUAGGUUCAACCGUAUAGGGCUAUUAGAGGGCCUACGGUUGAUUACUUUCUUGCACCUGAUAUGAUUAUGUUGAUGCAUUCAUACCUUAUUACUGUUGAGAUGAUGUGGCAUGGCAAUAAUUAAUAUGAGAAAUGUUGAGAUGACAUGGCAUGGCAUGAUUGAUAAAGAGAUAAUGUUGAGAUAGUAAAAAUGAAGUUUUUGAGAAUAUAUAUGUAUAUUUAUAUUUUACAUUUCUGGGAAAGUAUAUACAGGUUUUACGGAGAGGGGUUACAACGUUUUGAGAAAUGUUUGGAUUUGGAAAAGAAUUGUUUUACUGACCCACUCAAUUUUGGUUUUGCGCCCCUCCAGGUUCAGGAAUCACAAAGGUGUGGUGACUACGAGGAAUUCGACGGUGUUCUGACAGAUUGGACAAAAUUAGGACUCACCUUCGGGUGUAUCAACUUAUAAAUUGUAUAAUUAAAGCUUCCGUACUGUGCAAAUGGUUACGUCACUCUCACGUGACGGCCAGCAUGCCCUCCUUCGGGACCGGGUGUGUCAGUUGGUAUCAGAGCAUGGUUGCAAUCUUGGACAUCUUGAGAAGUUUCUAGUGAAUUCUGUCAGAACUACACCGCCUCGUAGCAAACCACGUAGUUAGAGGAACUUAGUCUCCUUGAUUUAGCGGGUUAGGGGAAACUAUUCUUAUGGUGAUUCAGUAUAUUAGAAAAAUGGACAUUUUAAGACGGGUUAUGAGUUGAAUUUGAAUCACUUAAGAGAAAUGAUGAACCUGAGGGAACAAAGUGACGGAUUAACCAAUUGGAAAAGAUGUUUCGGAAUAUGCAAGUCAAAGGAAUCUUCCUUCUGACAAGGGGUCGAGACGACUACCUGGUUUUGGUUAUGAAUUUGUAUCCUGGUGGAAACAGGAGUAUGAAUUGUUGUCACCAGAGGAAUCAGUCGAUUGAGAAUUGUUUAAGGACUUGUUUAAAGGAAAAGUUUAUCCCUCCGGCAUUUAUCGAUGGUAGUAAACAAGAGUUUACAAAUAUGAGACAAGGAAGGUGAUGAUCGAGGGAUAUUAUAGAAAGUUUUCAGACUAGCCUCGUUCCAUCCAGAUAUUGUUGUUAAUUUGGUGGAGGUGUUAUGUUGUUUUAAGCUGGGUGACAAAAGGGAAGUGGUAUUUUGGGUGACCACUAUCCAUUGUAGUUCUUAUCAGGAGUAUGCUAGAUGUUGUUGAAUCUUGAGGACUCUGAGAACAUGAGCAACGAGAAUAAAGAAGAAUAAGAAAUGAAUGGGAAUUAAAAGAAGACGAUAAAGUUAAUGAUUCGUCAUAUCAAGGAUAUAGAAAGAUUCAGAGCUUCGAAAGAAGUGAAGCUAGAGUUAAUUCUUCCAGCUGAGGUUUAAUGUCGCUGGUCAGAAUAAAAGUGAUGGAUAUACUGGUAAUCCCAGAUAUUUGAGACAAGGUGUCUCGAGUAAAGGAAAUGUACCUUGUGCAGCAGGUACAAAAUUAACACUUUGGGAAAUGUGAAAUUAAUGAAUGUGUUUAUGUGAACAGAAGGGACACAGAGUUGUGAAUCGUCCCUAGAAUCAGUUGUACUCAACAAUUUUCCAUGAAAUCAUAGUGUCGAUUCAGCAGAGUUAUGGAUUUAGUAGUUUGGUCGGAUUGACCGUGAGUACAGAGAUAUUUGAUGAGUUAUAUGUUCAGCCGUACGGACCAUGAGAAAUGGAUUUGACUGACACAUGAGAAAUUGGUGAGUUAUAGGCUCGGCCGUGCCGACCACGCGGAGUGGAUCUGGCCGACGUAUUAUUGAGAUAAGAGUUGAAUCAACCGUAUUGGUUAUUCUAGUUGACUUCGGCUGAUAUAUUUCUUAUUAUGUAUGUUAUUACCUAGAGAGUAGUAAAUAAAUGUAGUUGAGACGAGUGUAUGUAUUUUGCAUUGAGUGACAAAAUAGUAAUGUUAUAUCUUUGUGAGUGGUUGCCUACUUAUCGAGACAACGAUGAUUUAUCAGUAUUGCGGGCUGCAGACCGUAAUAUUAAUAACUCAUUCGUGGAUUCGUUAAGCAAGCAAACCGGUAGAUUAUUUUAUGUUAGUAUUGUACUUAUUUGGAAUGCUUAAUAAUAAUAGAAUAUAUAUUGUAUCAGUUAAUUCUGUUCCAUUAGAUUGGUUGGUUAUAAUUGUGACAAGACGAAAUGUUAUGGGAAACCAGUACUUUCCAUCGAUCUGGAUGAACAGAGAUUACUUUUGUAAGUAUGCAAAAUGGAUUGAGUCAGGCUGUUAUUUAUGCUGUGAGAGCAAAGAGAUUGUUUUCGAAAGGCUGUCAAAAAUACUUAGCUCAUGUGGUGCUAAAUGAUGUUGUUUGGAGUAGUGUGAAUAAUGUCAAAAGAGUUCUUGCGGGCCCUGAGACUAUGGAUGAGUCUCCUCAAAGUAUUCAGGUGAUUAAGUUAACCUGAAGUAACCAGGAAUGGCAAAAGAGAUAAUGGCAAAAGAGAUAAUGGCAAAAGAGACUAACAGAUGGAUAUGCCACUAAUCGAGUGUGUAAGGGAAAUGGUUUGAUAUUUUUGGAAAUUUCACCACGAACAGAAAUGGCGAGAAUUGGAAAGGAGACAAGAUAAGAUUUAGACACAUCAGACCAUUUUUUAUCACUAAAGGAAUCAAUAAAGUUGCAUACAAGUGGUGAUGUCUUCAGAGUUGGCUAAGGUACUUAAUGUAUUUUGGGUUCGAUGCGUUGUCACUAGGUGGCAGAGUCGUUACAUGGGACCUUGGUGCAACUAUUGAGAAUUAAGCCGGAUCUGAUUGGUGAGGAACUAAUGUCGACUUUGGAUUGGAAAAAGAAGGUCCUAAGAAUUAAGACAGAGUAAGUAGUAAAAGCUUUGUGAAGGAAAUCAUUCAGUAGAAAAUUGUGUGGGAGAAAGAGAAUCGGAUGAGAGAGAUUUAUCCGAGGCUAUUGUAUGAGUAUAGAUGAUUUAGUUGGUUGCUGGAAUUUCGGGGACGAAAUUCUAUAAGGAGGGAAGAUUGUCACAGCCCGUUCCAAAAUAUUACAUUCGUGGCUGUGAAUGGACGAAAUUGCCCUUAUGAAAUACUAAGUAUGUGAAGCUCAAGUUGAUAAUUAUCUAGGUUCCUAAGUUUUGAAAAUAAAAUGGAAUUUAAUAAGGAUGAAACUUAGAUUUUUUAGGUUAAAAUUGUGUGGUUUGGAGUUGGGGAUUGGAAAAGGACCACAUGGGAUCCCCACACCCCUCAAUCCUCUCCCUAUUUUCUGCAUACUGUCUCUCUCUCUCCUCCCUCACGAAUCUCUCUCUCUCUCUGUCACUCUUCUUCUCCGUUCGAACAAACCAACCACAAAACAACCUUAAACUUCCACCAACGACGGAGUUAAGACCACCAUCAAACUCUUGGAACCUCCACGAUCACGAUGGUAUCCAUUUCAGGUAAGUUUUGCUUCGGAAAACCCUAGUUUUCAAAGUACCCGUGAAAUGGCACUGUUCAUAAACUCUUAAAUGGUGGUGUUUUAGCUUAAAACAAGAUCACAGUGAGCUUUAGGAUGUCCCAAGGAAGCUCGGAGUGCUUCGUUGGAAGUUUUCGGACGUAAGAACACGGAGAUCGACAAGUUCAAAGUUUGGCCGGAGCUUUCGAGGCGUUUUCCGGCGAAUCCCCGGCGAUUUAGGAGUCGAGGUAGGUAUUAAUCUCUUCGUCUCAUCAAGUACUACAACUUUCCUUUUUGUUUCACUCAAUUUCGUUGAGUAUUGAAGAAGUUAUACUCAUUUGAAAAAUACCCAGUUUCCGGCGACCUCCGAGGCUUUCGAGGCAGUUUCCGGCCAAACCACGGCGAACUAGGUAUUGUGCAAGGUACCAUUCUCUUUGUCUCUUCAAGGGCUACAACUUUCGUUUUUGAAUCACUUGAUUUCGUUGAGAAAUGACAAAGUUAUGGCAAUUUGAAAAACUGCCCAGAAAACGGCCGCCGGAAAAACCAGUCCGGCGACCCAAGGAAGAAGAAGGUGCUACAGUAAAAAAAAAUAAAAAUAAAAUUAUUUUAAAAAUAUGUCGACGUCCGUGACGUCGAGUAGAUCACUGUGGUAUAUUCAUAUACCUAAAUUGAACACCGUAUGAGAAAGUUAUUGAAGAUUGUUGGUUAGGUGUUCAAAUAACGUUUUAUAGUUUUCACAUUUAGGUGAAAAUGUGAAUUGAUGAUCCGACCGUUGGAUCAUCACCAAAAUUUGAUACGUUAUAGUACGUAAUAUUUGAGGAUUAUUGGAACUUACGGAUUGGGAAUCCGAGUUACGGAUCUUCCGGAAUUGGAAUUGUAAGUCCAUAAUAUAAAAUGUUAACCGUCACUUAGUUUUGGAAAUUGACGGAGAUCCGACCGUUGGAUGGUAAUGAAAUUUUAGGAUGUUAUCCUAGAGAUAUAUUGUGGACCUCUGGAAGUUAUGGAUUUAAAAUCUGAGUGGCAGAUCUUCCGGAUCGAUCAACAUAGUGACGUAUUUUAUAUAAGUUAUAUUCUAUCGAUAUGAAUUCUGAGGUUGGAAUUAAUUAUUGUUUUAGGCGCCGAUCGUCAUGACGCCUUGAUGUGUGGUGCUAGGGAGUUGUAGGGCGAACUCCAGGUGAGUGGGCAGUUUUGUUUUCCGUAUAUAUAUAUACUUGACGUUUCCCAGAAAUUGAAUUGAAAUGAAAAU
rnacentral:lncRNA from 1 species